AGAGAGGGGGCUCCGCCCCCCGCUCUCCAGACAGUGGUUUCGUCCCGAUUAGCCACGCCCCGGGGCGGGGCUUCCAGCUUUCGCCAGGACUUCACCCUCUCGGAACUCUAGAGCUGGGGCUGGGCUCCGGGUGCUGAGAGACGCCUGCGGGUGGGACCCCACUGACUCGGGAGAGGUCGGCUCCGAGGCGUCGUUCCUAAGCCCACCAAAGGGACCCAGAGUCUCAGAGCAUGACGUCAGAUCCAGUUUGCCCUCCGGGGAAGGCUGGCCCCAAGAAAAGCUAGUGCUUUGCUGAAUAAAAGUGGUAAAUGUUUUCUGGGUCUUCGAGUAUGCUGUUAGCAAUCGGACUUUCAGACACGGCCUGCUGCCCAGGGAGCUUCUGUUUGCUCAACAUCCAUCAUGAAAAGGGUCUCAUGCAACCCAGGCUGGCCCUGAAAUGUCCUGCACAACAGGACUAUUAUGUUACUAGACUACAAAGCAAGCAAUCCAUCAAUCACACGAACAAGGAAGAUAGAAGAAAAAACCCCAAACAAAGAAACAAAAAAGAAAAGAAAGAAAGAAAGAAAGAAAGACAGAGAAGAGUACCAAGGCUUUACUUACACUCUAAUCCUCUAAAUGUACAGAUCAAGCUUGGACCGAGAUAAAGAGAAGCAGCAGAGCAACAAACAGCAAGAGCCCAGCGCAGCGGGGGAACGUGUUUUCUGAAGUAACACGCCAGAGAAUUCAGUGAAGAAGUUCUGCAGUCCUUUAAGUGGUUACUCUUA